AUUCAUGGAGGGUUUGUUGGGAAAGAGGGGUUUUUGGGACAAGAGGUGGUUGAUGGAGGGGUUAAGGUUUUAGUUGAGGGUUGUGCUAAUUUAAGAAGAAUAGUAUUGAUCAAUGCGAGUGUAGAGGGGCUCGGUUAUUUGGGUGAAAAGUGUGAAACUUUGCAGGAGUUGGAAUUGCAUUUCUCUGAUGACUUUGCAUUGAAGGGAUUAUUUGGCAGUAGGAAUUUGCAGAUACUGAAAUUGGUUGGU
rnacentral:misc_RNA from 1 species